rnacentral:rRNA from 1 species
AGUGAACGCUGGCGGCAGGCCUAACACAUGCAAGUCGAACGGCAGCACAAGAGAGCUUGCUCUCUGGGUGGCGAGUGGCGGACGGGUGAGGAAUGCAUCGGAAUCUGCCCAUUUGUGGGGGAUAACCUCGGGAAACCGGGACUAAUACCGCAUACGACCUACGGGUGAAAGCAGGGGAUCUUCGGACCUUGCGCAGAUGGAUGAGCCGAUGCCGGAUUAGCUAGUUGGAGGGGUAAAGGCCCACCAAGGCGACGAUCCGUAGCUGGUCUGAGAGGGUGAUCGGCCACACUGGGACUGAGACACGGCCCAGACUCCUACGGGAGGCAGCAGUGGGGAUUAUUGGACAAUGGGCGCAAGCCUGAUCCAGCCAUGCCGCGUGUGUGAAGAAGGCCUUCGGGUUGUAAAGCACUUUUGUUGGGAAAGAAAAGCAGCCGGUUAAUACCCGGUUGUCAUGACGGUACCCAAAGAAUAAGCACCGGCUAACUUCGUG